AUGAGCGGGGCCACCUCCACCCAGGGGAUGAGGGGGGUCGGCGGCGGCCGCUGCCCCCCCAGCGCCCCCUCUCCUCAGGGGCGGAGUGAGGGCGGGCAGGGGCGGCGCGGGCCCGGCCCCGCUGCUGCGCGGCCGCUGCUGCGCGGGGAGGGAGCGGCGGGCGCCGAGCUUCAAAUGAACAUUACCGGCGCUCGGCGAGGGCAGCGCCGGCGGCUCGGCCCGGUUGGCGGCGUUAGCGGCGACACCUCGUCCUCACCCUCACCUUCCUCCGCCACGGCGGCAGGAAAUUUCCAAAUGCCUGGCAAUAUGUGACACUGACAAGUGCUCAGCCUGGGGGUUUGAGCAAGACCUGAGCUGUUCAGGACACCAUUCACUUCCAGAUCUCAGGUGAGCUUGCAGAGUUAACACUACAAAAGCCAUGUUUGGAGUUUUUUUGGAAAUCCAUAAGCAGAGCAAGGACGUUCCGUUGGCAUACAAUGAAGAUAAAACCUGCAUCGUUAUGAGGUGCUCUCUUUUUUUUUUAAGAAGUGCUUUUCAUAACAUUUUGUACUCAGUUCCAAGUUUUUUGAAGUUAAUGGACACUGAAUCACAACCCAAGGACAGAAAGCCAUUUAUGUCAUUGGGGGGCUUUUUGUAACGCUGUCCAUGUGUGUCAGUCCAUUUGGUGCCCUUGUGCUUUUCCUAGAUGGGGCUGUUGUGUUACUUGCAUCUUCAAACCCUUUUUUUUUUUUUUUUUUUUUUACUUCUGCUCUAAAGUAGGAAAUUAUACCUUAUGAAAACCCUGCAAAAGGAAAUGAUGCAUAAUUCAAUAUUCCAAAAUAGAUAAGACUUCUGAUUCCAUUUAAAUUUGUUUGACAGAAGACAGAAUUUGACACUAUUACCUCUGUGGCUGUGGGGACUUUUUUUUUUUUUUUUUUUUAAACUACUUUUCAGAAACUUUUAAAUGGGAGAUAACUAAACACUGCAACUGAUGCAGACUAAGGGAAAUGAGCUUUAAUGUACCCUAGGUAUUCUCUCUGGGUUCCUGACCAAUACUUCAAAGAGGAAAAUGUCCUCAGAGACUUAUUCCUGUGAUUUCUACUGAGCCCAGCUAUUGUUGGGAUGGGAUUUUAGGAGCUUGCAGAGAGCAUAAAAAACCUGCAGAGCAAAGACAGGAGAAGUAAAGCUUGUAAGUACUUAUUAUUAAGCUAGUCCUUUGAUUUAACAGCUUCCUGGAACCUGGGAUAUGACACCAGUCACAUCUGGGGUAAAAUUCAUCAGCUGUUAGAAAACAACUACAAACGUACAGAAUGCAAUUACCAAAAUUGAAAUUAUGCCAUGACUCUGGUUAUAUUUCUCAAACUGCAUCUUUAACAGUCACAGAUCACAGCACUCCCCUUCUGGAUGGGACGCAACUAUAAGCAUACUGAGAAGAAUACAGUCACAGACAUAAUUUGCCUGGCAUAUAGAUUGGUUUUGCAUGAAGUAGUGCACUUGUGGUGGUAUUCCUCAAGAGGAGAGAGACAGCUUAGCUGCCAAGCAAUUUGGAUGAAUUGUGUCUGAACAGUGUUGGAACAGUGUUGGUUAUGGAAUGACAAAGGGAAUUAGUACUGUAUGUUGUUCCAAGCUUCUUUCUUCAACUGAGCAUCUGUGUAUCACAAUGCAUAUAGCUGAAACUGCUUUGGAUUCAUCUGUACAUUAACUCAUGCCCAAUGGUACCCCGCUGAUAGCUUUGAGUUCCUUGGGACUGUGAAGGGUUUCUUCCAAUAAUCUUGUUUAUUCACCUUCUCAGAUAAAACAGGAGGCAUUGCCUAAGCUAGAGAAAUUGUGACACAAACAAAUCCCACUUGUGAAGCUUUUGAGCAUCAUGAAACAAGAAAUACUUUGAAUCUUGGUUUUAUUAUUUAUUAUUUUCAGUUCUAGAGGAUUUUUCUUCCACAGCCUCUGUAAUGAAAAGAGGCUAAAAUGGGCUAAGAAGCAGAAAUUAGAAGUGCUUGAAGAAAUACAGGACUGAGUAUUGUAUGAAAGGGAUGAGUUGUUAGGCUGUGCUUCAAAGGACAAAUCUCUUACUCUUUAAUGCACUUUCUGGAAGGUUCUUUUUACUACAGAGUAAGGAAU
rnacentral:lncRNA from 1 species